CUUUCACCUCCUUUUUUUCAAGACGUCUGGCCCAGCGUGCAAGGGCAGGCAAAAACAAUACCCCCCGAGUGCAAUGGCAGGAGCAAGUCACGUCGUGGUGAUGUGCAACUUUACCUUUCACCGACGACGGUGUCCUGGUGUGUGUAUGCAGAGCACAGCACGCAAAGAAGAAUCGAAUGAAGAACGAGGGACGGUUCUUGUUUUCUCAUCGCGUGGGUUCCUGUCAGAGAAGCAGAUGUCUCUGCGGAUGACAGUCCCACCUUGACGCCCCGUGUCAACGCUAAGCGCACUCCAUGGCCAGCCUGGUGAACUCUUCGACAUGGUGCGACGGCGUGGCGGCGCAACGCGACCAAAACUUUGCUCGAUGAUCAAGAAAGCGACGAAACCUCCUCCCUGCUUAUCCCACCCAACGAGUCGAGCGGUCAAACGCACCCAUUGGCAAUUAGUCAGCCUCACAAUCUCCUGCAUAGAGCAACCGUGAAAAGGGGGUCUGGGAGAUCCAUUAAAAGCGGCCAAAGAGCAGCUACAAUUUAUGGAGAAUAACAUUCCAUCCCUAUUGUGAGCGCGCCUGCGGCUGGGUAUGUACGUCAUUUUCGGGCUUCUGGGGAGCUGAAAGGGCCUCAAAGAUUGAAACUACACGUUAGCAUAAAAAUGCAGUCGAGUUUUAACGCGUUUCAAAAUCGUACAAAAGGACAGCGCUAGCCUUUUGUGGAAGGACCCUUCACAAAGAGGAGUAAGUUUGAGGAGUACGUAGAAAAGUUCAAAAUAACAAGAGUUAUAGCAGCA